CCCUUAGAUGUUCUGGGCCGCACGCGCGCUACACUGAUGCAUUCAACGAGUCUAAAACCUGCUCUGAUAGGGGUGGGUAAUCUUUUGAACGUGCAUCGUGAUUGGGAUAGAUGAUUGCAAUUUUUCAUCUUCAACGAGGAAUGCCUAGUAAACGCAAGUCAUCAGCUUGCAUUGAUUACGUCCCUGCCCUUUGUACACACCGCCCGUCGCUCCUACCGAUUGAAUGAUCCGAUGAAUAUCAUGGAUUGAGGAUGCAAGUAGGUUCGCCUAUCUUCAUCUUCGAGAAGUGAAGUAAAUCUUAUCAUUUAGAGGAAGGAGAAGUCGUAACA
rnacentral:rRNA from 1 species